rnacentral:lncRNA from 1 species
CUAUCUUACAUUGUAAAAAUAAUGUGAACUCCGUCAUUACGCAGCUAACCAGCCACCCGCCAGCCUCCCGCCUUUGCGUGAGCUACCUGCAGCACAGAUUAUCUUUAAGAACAGUAAUAACGAAUCGAAUGAGAGUCUUAUUAAAUACAUGCGAGAGCAUGUAAUAAGCCAUUUUUAGGCUCCAUCUGCAGCAACUGUCGACCUAAUCACCGCUCGUCAGAUGGCACAAUAAUGUUCUCGCGUGCAGUUAAUAAGACUCCACGACUGGUUACUACUACUCUUCAAGCCCCCACGUCGCACCACUACCAGGCAGGCGGCCGCGGCCGCCGCCUCGCUACCGCCAGCAACUAGCAAGCACACAUCAACAGCAGCCAACCAAGCCGCGCAUAAUAACCUGGAAUCAGGAUCCUGCCCUCGCCACUUGCAUAACAUCUCACUCGCGAUAUGCGGCGGUCGAUCUAUAUCGUCAAAAAUGUCUGCCAGUGGAUACGCUCUCCAGAAGUAAUUGACGUGAUGUUCAUCACCUGGCCGCCUUGGGGGCGUAGAUAAAUAUUGCUUUGCUAAAUAUUGCGUUCCACAGGAAUAGGUCGAUAAUUGCGUAUCAUACAUCUGAGGACCUUGCAAUGCUAUUUGAUCAGUUCGACAGAAUUGAUCUUUCUUGGCUGGAACAGGCAUGAAUUGAAGGUAGGAGCGCCGAAGAUGAACGUAAAUUGCUGAGCGAUGAAUGCAGCGGCACCUAGCGCCGCCGCCGCCCACCGGCAACGUCAAUAUAACCGAACAAAUACUCCCGCAGCCAUGAAAGUCGCUCGGUGCAGUUUUCUUACUUAUCCUUUGAAAUCCGUACCUCAACUAAACAACGAAUAAUAAUCGAAUCAAACAACUAACAAAUAAUGAAGCAUUGAAAUCGCUUUGGGGCUCGUAGUAAAAUAUACUCUUCUACCGUUGUAUCGAGCUGCAAGAUGGAGCUAGCAGCUAACCAAGAAAGGCACCCCCUGGACAUUAGCGAUAAGUUCCCAGGGUAUUAUAAUUAUCGUAAAUGCAUGCGUCCCAGCAUUACGCAUGUGUAUUACUUGGUACACAGAACGGCACACAUAUCAACUGCAAAUACGCGUGGAGCACUCCACCCGCAUCUCCAGAGGCCUUUUCAGCUUCCGGGCACUACAGCGUGGCUAACUACUGCUGGGUAGCUAGCUUGUGCACGCUGGGCCUGUCGGACAUACAUACAUACAUACAUACAUACAUACAUACAUACAUACAUACAUACAUACAUACAUACAUACAUACAGUAUUAGGAUGCAGCAACAUACGCUACGACGUGGGUAGUCUAAAUUAUUACUAGAUUAUCAACACGGAUUGAUACAUCAGAUCGAACAUUGCGGCUUCCCAAAGCAAUGAAUUGCAUUGUCGGCGGUCUUAUGAGGUGUUUCCACUUGGGAUUGGAUUGACGUCACAGGUCAGGGCACGGAAGUCCUUGGCAGGAGCUCAUACCACAUAGUUUCGCGCCAAAGGUUGUGAAGGCGAGGUAAGUUAGCCAAUAAAAACUUAGUCGCUCACGCAACCAGGUAUCGAUCGAGGGGGGCGAUAGGGUUAAGUAGCGAUGUUGUUAAUCCGAAAAGAGAACAGCCCCCAUACGGUGAGAAUCAAUUAAGGAUAAGUAUUACGAUAAAACUCCGACGCGCCCGAGUAAAGUGGGAGACAGAAAUGUGCACAAGGAAGCGUGAGGGUGUAUCGACCGCACGGACUCUAACAACUGACACGCGACUCUAGGAACAACAUCAGCCUCCCAUCAGCACGCAGAGUACAUGCGCGGCGCCAAUUGACACCGACUGUGCCGCGUUAGUUGUUAGUUGUUUGUUGCAACAACCUAUCAACGCGCCGCACGCUAAUGCAGACGUGGGAUGCAUGUCCAGAAGGAGUAGUAAUGCUAAUGUAAACCCCCAUCGACAUGACGAGAUCGGGCUACAUGCCGGAUUGGAUAAUUUAUCAUUUUUUGUUUGGGGGGCCCAACUGUUGUAUCACACACUACUAAUACAACAGUAUCAGUACUUUUCUGUGGUCGUACAUGGCACGUACGACUGCAGAAAAGUACCUAUCGGCCGAUGUCAGAAUAUUCCGUGAUACGAACAGAGGAUACAACAGCAACCAAAGUAGUCGCGGAGCUCAUACCACAUAGUUUCGCGCCAAAGGUUGUGAAGGCGAGGUAAGUUCGCCAAUAAAAACUUAGUCGCUCACGCAACCAGGUAUCGAUCGAGGGGGGCGAUAGGGUUAAGUAGCGAUGUUGUUAAUCCGAAAAGAGAACAGCCCCCAUACGGUGAGAAUCAAUUAAGGAUAAGUAUUACGAUAAAACUCCGACGCGCCCGAGUAAAGUGGGAGACAGAAAUGUGCACAAGGAAGCGUGAGGGUGUAUCGACCGCACGGACUCUAAC